rnacentral:rRNA from 1 species
UAGGGCGUUUAGUAUUUGGUCGUAGACCCGAAACCAGGUGAUCUACCCUUGGUCAGGUUGAAGUUCAGGUAACACUGAAUGGAGGACCGAACCGACUUACGUUGAAAAGUGAGCGGAUGAACUGAGGGUAGCGGAGAAAUUCCAAUCGAACCUGGAGAUAGCUGGUUCUCUCCGAAAUAGCUUUAGGGCUAGCCUCAAGUGAUGAUUAUUGGAGGUAGAGCACUGUUUGGACGAGGGGCCCCUCUCGGGUUACCGAAUUCAGACAAACUCCGAAUGCCAAUUAAUUUAACUUGGGAGUCAGAACAUGGGUGAUAAGGUCCGUGUUCGAAAGGGAAACAGCCCAGACCACCAGCUAAGGUCCCAAAAUAUAUGUUAAGUGGAAAAGGAUGUGGCGUUGCCCAGACAACUAGGAUGUUGGCUUAGAAGCAGCCAUCAUUUAAAGAGUGCGUAAUAGCUCACUAGUCGAGUGACACUGCGCCGAAAAUGUACCGGGGCUAAACAUAUUACCGAAGCUGUGGAUUGUCCUUUGGACAAUGGUAGGAGAGCGUUCUAAGGGCGUUGAAGCAUGAUCGUAAGGACAUGUGGAGCGCUUAGAAGUGAGAAUGCCGGUGUGAGUAGCGAAAGACGGGUGAGAAUCCCGUCCACCGAUUGACUAAGGUUUCCAGAGGAAGGCUCGUCCGCUCUGGGUUAGUCGGGUCCUAAGCUGAGGCCGACAGGCGUAGGCGAUGGAUAA